rnacentral:rRNA from 1 species
UGGGGAAUAUUGCACAAUGGGCGCAAGCCUGAUGCAGCCAUGCCGCGUGUGUGAAGAAGGCCUUCGGGUUGUAAAGCACUUUCAGCGGGGAGGAAGGCGAUAAGGUUAAUAACCUUGUCGAUUGACGUUACCCGCAGAAGAAGCACCGGCUAACUCCGUGCCAGCAGCCGCGGUAAUACGGAGGGUGCAAGCGUUAAUCGGAAUUACUGGGCGUAAAGCGCACGCAGGCGGUCUGUCAAGUCGGAUGUGAAAUCCCCGGGCUCAACCUGGGAACUGCAUUCGAAACUGGCAGGCUAGAGUCUUGUAGAGGGGGGUAGAAUUCCAGGUGUGGCGGUGAAAUGCGUAGAGAUCUGGAGGAAUACCGGUGGCGAAGGCGGCCCCCUGGACGAAGACUGACGCUCAGGUGCGAAAGCGUGGGGAGCAAACAGG